CGGGUUCAUACGUUUUCUCAUUUCUUUAAGUUUCAUUAAAAUAACAUUUGGAUGUCAUAAAUGUGCAAUUAAAUAUUUGCCGCUGGACGUUAAGCAGCUACCAAUACUCAUAAUUAGCUAUUGCAGGUCGUUUUGUUCCGAAUUGUGUUAUUGGUAAAAUGUUUUUCAGCAUGUAACAGUUUAAGCAACGAAUAGUAAGAUAGACC
rnacentral:lncRNA from 1 species